AAACAUGAAAAUCAUCAUGAACAAUUCAAAGUUGAUCAAACAUAUGACUAUCUCCCACAAGAUUAUGAAAUGACGGACCUGGACUACUGUGCUCUAAUAACAAUAGAAACAUCUUUGGAAUCUGAUAUACUUGUGAAGAUAGAUGACAUCUUUGUCACACAAUCUCAAUUGUCAUGUUUGCUAGAUCCAAAAAAAUUCCUAAAUGAUGAUGUCAUCAGCGCGUAUAUAUGUUGCAUAAAGUAUCAAACCCAU